AUGACCUUGGCUAAAGCGGUCCUCACGGCUGUGGCCAUCUACCAUAUCACUCCGCUGGACCUCCCGGUGGAGGUGCUACAGAAGCUAGAUAGCCUGCGAAGAGCCUACCUCUGGGAGGGAACGGACUCUGUGUCCGGCGGCAAGUGCAAAAUUAACUGGGAGCAAGUUUGCAGACCCAAGCAUUUUGGGGGCCUGGGAAUUCUCAAUCUGAAAAAGUUCGCCACCGCGCUCCGUCUUAGAUGGCUUUGGCUGGAGUGGGAUGACCCGCCAAGGGUUUGGUGCAGUACAGAGAUCCCUUGUGGCAAGGAAGAUUGCGACAUUUUUGCAGCCGCCACCAAGGUCACUAUUGGUGAUGGCACAAAAGCCAAAUUCUGGGAGUCACCUUGGUUGGAUGGCGUCCUCCCCAAAGACAUUGCCCCAAAAAAUUUUGAGCUAUCAAGGAAAAAGUGCAUCACUGUUGCCUCGGCCAUCAGAGACGAUAACUGGGUCAGCUUGAUUGAUAUAAGCGCGGGACUAUCUCUGGAUCAUCUUGAACAAUUUUUCGCUCUAUGGAGCAAGCUAUUGCCCAUCAACCUACAGCCUGGUGUCUUGGACACCAUCCUAUGGAAGCUCUCCAAUGAUGUGUUAGAGUUGUGUCGAAUAUAG
rnacentral:rRNA from 1 species